rnacentral:rRNA from 1 species
GGCGAACGCUGGCGGCGUGCCUAAUACAUGCAAGUCGAACGAACCGCGACUAGGUGCUUGCACUUGGUCAAGGUGAGUGGCGAACGGGUGAGUAACACGUGGGUAACCUACCUCAUAGUGGGGGAUAACAGUCGGAAACGACUGCUAAUACCGCAUAGGACAUAGGAUCACAUGAUCCAGUGAGGAAAGGUGGCGCAAGCUAUCGCUAAGAGAUGGACCCGCGGUGCAUUAGCUAGUUGGUAGGGUAAAGGCCUACCAAGGCGAUGAUGCAUAGCCGACCUGAGAGGGUGAUCGGCCACAUUGGGACUGAGACACGGCCCAAACUCCUACGGGAGGCAGCAGUAGGGAAUCUUCCGCAAUGGACGCAAGUCUGACGGAGCAACGCCGCGUGAGUGAAGAAGGUCUUCGGAUCGUAAAGCUCUGUUGUUAGAGAAGAACAGCGCAUAGAGUAACUGUUAUGCGUGUGACGGUAUCUAACCAGAAAGCCACGGCUAACUACGUG